rnacentral:rRNA from 1 species
UGAUGCAGCGACGCCGCGUGAGGGAUGACGGCCUUCGGGUUGUAAACCUCUUUCAGCAGGGAAGAAGCGAAAGUGACGGUACCUGCAGAAGAAGCGCCGGCUAACUACGUGCCAGCAGCCGCGGUAAUACGUAGGGCGCAAGCGUUGUCCGGAAUUAUUGGGCGUAAAGAGCUCGUAGGCGGCUUGUCACGUCGGGUGUGAAAGCCCGGGGCUUAACCCCGGGUCUGCAUUCGAUACGGGCUAGCUAGAGUGUGGUAGGGGAGAUCGGAAUUCCUGGUGUAGCGGUGAAAUGCGCAGAUAUCAGGAGGAACACCGGUGGCGAAGGCGGAUCUCUGGGCCAUUACUGACGCUGAGGAGCGAAAGCGUGGGGAGCGAACAGGAUUAGAUACCCUGGUAGUCCACGCCGUAAACGGUGGGAACUAGGUGUUGGCGACAUUCCACGUCGUCGGUGCCGCAGCUAACGCAUUAAGUUCCCCGCCUGGGGAGUACGGCCGCAAGGCUAAAACUCAAAGGAAUUGACGGGGGCCCGCACAAGCAGCGGAGCAUGUGGCUUAAUUCGACGCAACGCGAAGAACCUUACCAAGGCUUGACAUACACCGGAAAGCAUCAGAGAUGGUGCCCCCCUUGUGGUCGGUGUACAGGUGGUGCAUGGCUGUCGUUC